rnacentral:rRNA from 1 species
AAUAGAUACCCCGGUAGUCCACGCUGUAAACGUUGGGCGCUAGGUGUGGGGGGCCUCUCCGGUUCUCUGUGCCGCAGCUAACGCAUUAAGCGCCCCGCCUGGGGAGUACGGCCGCAAGGCUAAAACUCAAAGGAAUUGACGGGGGGCCCGCACAAGCGGCGGAGCAUGCGGAUUAAUUCGAUGCAACGCGAAGAACCUUACCUGGGUUUGACAUGGCCGCAAAAACCGGCAGAGAUGUCGGGUCCUUCGGGGGCGGUCACAGGUGGUGCAUGGCUGUCGUCAGCUCGUGUCGUGAGAUGUUGGGUUAAGUCCCGCAACGAGCGCAACCCUCGUUCGAUGUUGCCAGCGGUUCGGCCGGGGACUCAUCGAAGACUGUCGGGGUCAACUCGGAGGAAGGUGGGGAUGACGUCAAGUCAUCGUGCCCCUUAUGUCCAGGGCUUCACGCAUGCUACAAUGGCCGGUACAAUGGGCUGCGAUACCGUGAGGUGGAGCGAAUCCCAUAAAGCCGGUCUCAGUUCGGAUCGGGGUCUGCAACUCGA